ACCUGGCUGGUUCAAUCAGUACAACAUGUGAUUCUUGAUCGCGGGGUUGUGAGUUCGAGCCCCACAUCAGGUA
rnacentral:tRNA from 1 species